CCCUUAGACGUUCUGGGCCGCACGCGCGCUACACUGACCAGUGCAACAAGCAUCCGUCCUUGGCCGACAGGCCCGGGCAAUCUUUGAACGCUGGUCGUGAUGGGGAUAGACUUUUGCAAUUUUUGGUCUUCAACGAGGAAUUCCUAGUAAACGCAAGUCAUCAACUUGCAUUGAUUACGUCCCUGCCCUUUGUACACACCGCCCGUCGCACCUACCGAUUGAAUGGUCCGGUGAAUAAUUCGGACUGCAGCAGUGUUCAGUUCCUGAACGUUGCAGCGGAAAGUUUAGUGAACCUUAUCACUUAGAGGAAGGAGAAGUCGUAACA
rnacentral:rRNA from 1 species